UCAGAACGAACGCUGGCGGCAGGCUUAACACAUGCAAGUCGAACGCCCCGCAAGGGGAGUGGCAGACGGGUGAGUAACGCGUGGGAAUCUACCCAGUUNUACGGAACAACACAGGGAAACUUGUGCUAAUACCGUAUACGCCCUACGGGGGAAAGAUUUAUCGGAAUUGGAUGAGCCCGCGUAAGAUUAGCUAGUUGGUGGGGUAAUGGCCUACCAAGGCGACGAUCUUUAGCUGGUCUGAGAGGAUGAUCAGCCACACUGGGACUGAGACACGGCCCAGACUCCUACGGGAGGCAGCAGUGGGGAAUAUUGGACAAUGGGCGCAAGCCUGAUCCAGCCAUGCCGCGUGAGUGAUGAAGGCCUUAGGGUUGUAAAGCUCUUUCAGUGGGGACGAUAAUGACGUACCCACAGAGA
rnacentral:rRNA from 1 species